AUGCAGGCUCAGACAGCUCAUGGAGGAGCAGAGAUAUAUCCAGGGGUGAUCAGAGUGAAAGGGGGGCAACCCUUCGGAUUUAGAGGAGAAAAGAAUCAACUCAGACAUGAACAGAAGAGAGGGACAGAUGUAUAUGGUGUUGAAGACAGAAUUGUAUGGAUCUGCAUUCUGAUGUAUUCUCUGCAAAUGCCACAAGGAAGAUGGUCAUGCAGGAGUUCCCUGUAUUUUUUCAGUUCAGGAGCCAGGAAGUCCAAGAUCAAGGCAUCAGCAGAUCUGAUGUCUGGUAAGGGCUGGUUUUCUUCUUCAAAGAUGGCACCUUGUUGCUGCAUCUUCACAUGGUGGAAGGAGUCAAAGAUUUCUUGAGCUUCUUUGGUAACAGCACUAAUUUCAUUCAUGAAGGAAGAGCCCUCAUGGUCUAGUCACCUCCUAAAGGGCCCUCCUCUCAGUUCCUCACAAUGGGGAUGAGGUUUAAUAUGCAUUUUAAAGGGUCACAGACAUUCCGAUCAUAGGAAGAUUGAUUUGCGUUGUUUCAUACAUCAGUACCCUAUUCUGUUUUCUUGCUGAGUAGUAUUUCACAGUGUGGAUAUGCCACAUAUUUUGUUUCUUUACUCAUUUGUUGGUAGAUAUGUAGAUUUUUUUCAAGGUUGUAUCUGUUAUGAAUAAAACUGCUGUAAGCAUUCA
rnacentral:lncRNA from 13 species